rnacentral:rRNA from 1 species
AUACGGAGGGUGCAAGCGUUGUCCGGAUUUAUUGGGUUUAAAGGGUGCGUAGGCGGCGUAAUAAGUCAGUGGUGAAAGCCGGCAGCUCAACUGUCGAGGUGCCAUUGAAACUGUUAUGCUUGAGUACAGACGAGGUAGGCGGAAUUUAUGAUGUAGCGGUGAAAUGCAUAGAUAUCAUAAAGAACACCGAUAGCGAAGGCAGCUUACUAGGCUGUAACUGACGCUGAGGCACGAAAGCGUGGGGAGCGAACAGGAUUAGAUACCCCUGUAGUCC